GAAAAGAGAAGAAGAAGAAGAAGAGUGGAGUUUCUCUCGUUAUGCUUUGUUGACUGUUGUUUUUGCUCCUAUUUCUCUUUUGGUUUAUCGUUCUAUGAGAGAUUCUGCUCUUCAAAAACAACAAACAAAAUGGAUAGCAACAAAAGAAGAAGAAACAAUUCGAUGCAAAUUGUACAAGGCUCUUCCUCUUCGAUUUUUAUCUCUUUUUU
rnacentral:ribozyme from 13 species